GACGAACGCUGGCGGCGUGCUUAACACAUGCAAGUCGAACGAUGAAGCCGGAGCUUGCUCUGGUGAAUUAGUGGCGAACGGGUGAGUAACACGUGAGUAACCGGCCCUUGACUCUGGGAUAACUGCGGGAAACUGUAGCUAAUACCGGAUACGACCCUCGGAGGCAUCUCCGGGGGGUGGAAAGAAUUUCGGUCAAGGAUGGACUCGCGGCCUAUCAGCUAGUUGGAGAGGUAAAGGCUCACCAAGGCGACGACGGGUAGCCGGCCUGAGAGGGUGACCGGCCACACUGGGACUGAGACACGGCCCAGACCCCUACGGGAGGCAGCAGUGGGGAAUAUUGCACAAUGGGCGCAAGCCUGAUGCAGCAACGCCGCGUGAGGGAUGACGGCCUUCGGGUUGUAAACCUCUUUUAGCAGGGAAGAAGCGAAAGUGACGGUACCUGCAGAAAAAGCACCGGCUAACUACGUGCCAGCAGCCGCCGUAA
rnacentral:rRNA from 1 species